GGAGGGAUGGCCGAGUGGACGAAGGCAACGGUCUUGAAAACCGUAGUGGGCUUAUGCCCACCGGGGGUUCGAAUCCCUCUCCCUCCGCCA
rnacentral:tRNA from 1 species